rnacentral:snRNA from 1 species
UGAUGUGCAGGAGCUUUGCCGUUGACACCUGUCACUUCAUAGGUAAUCAGGGCAGAUUUGGGUGACCUGGUGGUCUACAGGUGCAUGUUGCUGCUUCCUCCAUCACUGUCCCAUGUGCAUGUUUCCUGAAGCUGCAUGCUCUGUUGAAGAGGAUAACUUUCUAAGAUAGGGGAGGAUAAUUCUUGGGUCACAGUUUUAAGAGUAACUGUACUUCCCUGCUAAAAACUCCAAACAAGUCCGCCAAGCUCUAUAGAAGGCUCUGUGGUCGAAUGGAAUGAGCAGGGCAAUAUCUACAUGAAACAUUGCCUGACUGUAAAGUUGU